rnacentral:tRNA from 1 species
ACCUGGCUGGCUCGGUUGGUAGAGCAUGUGACUUUAGAUCUCGGGGUCAUGAGUUCAAAUCCCAUGUUGGACA